GAGGACGGCGACCAGGAGAAGGAGAUGCAGCUCGUGCUCAUGCGGACUGAGUCAGACGGCGGCGACCACCAGGGCCAGGAGCAUGGGCAUGGCGCGGCUACCCUGGUCCCAAGCCUAACACCAUCGUUGGGUGGUGCCGUCCGUCUCCGUCCGCCAGGAAAGGGCCAAGCCCCGGGCCGACGUAAAGGACUUCUACCUCCUGCCUCGGCGUCCAAGGUGCAGCCCCGUCGCAACACUUCAAGCCGGCCGCCUCGCCCUAGCCCGCUUAGUCGAUCCUCUACUGUCACCAAGCACAAGAACAAAAGCAAGGCUAUUUUGGCUUGUGGUACAGGUUCAACCAACCAAGUAGAUGCUCCUUGUGAUGCAUCUGCCCCAAUGGAUGAAGAUGCAGAUCAUGUCAUUCUUUCAGAUGAUGAAGAUGGACAGGAGGAGGAGGUGGAAGAGGUCAAUGAAGCAGGCAAACGGAAGCUAACUUCUAAAGUUUGGUUGGAAAUGAAGAAGAUGAGGAUCAAUGGACAAUGGAAAGCAAAGUGUAACUAUUGUCACAAGGAACUUGCUUCAGGACCUAGAGCAGGCACAAAGCAUCUUGCUUCUCAUCUAAAGAUUUGUACUCUCAAGAUGUUGAAGAUGAAGGGAGGCAAAACAUUGAGUCAGCCAUCAUUGAGGAUGAAUGCUAAUGAGGACGGUAACGUUUUUCUGGAGAGCUAUACGUUUGAUCAAGAGGUUGCUAGAAGAGAGCUUGGUAACAUGUUGGUGUUGCAUGAGUAUCCACUGUCUAUAGUGGACCAUGCUGGUUUUAGGAAGUUUGUUCAUGCACUUCAGCCAUUAUUCAAGCUACAUACAAGAAAUACUAUUAGGCAAGAUAUUGAGGAAGAUUAUAACCAAGAAAGAAAGAAGGCAAUUGAUUACAUGACUAUGAACCAAUCUAGGGUUGCUAUCACUACAGAUAUGUGGACUGCGGACCACCAAAAGAAGGGAUAUAUGGCUAUGACAGCUCAUUUCAUUGAUGAAUCUUGGAAGCUUCGGAACGUUAUCAUGAGGUUUGUAUAUGUUCCAGCUCCUCAUACAGCUGAAGUGAUAUGUGAGGUGCUCUAUGAUUCCCUGCUUCAAUGGAAUAUUGAUGAAAAACUGAUGACAGUGACUGUGGAUAACUGCACCACCAAUGACAAGGCAAUUGAGAUGAUUGUGGGGAAGAUAGGGAAGGAGAAGCUCCCUUUGGAAGGUACUCUGCUGCAUAUGCGUUGU
rnacentral:rRNA from 1 species